rnacentral:tRNA from 1 species
GCCCGAGUGGUGAAAUUGGCAGACACGCUAGACUAAGGAUCUAAGUGAGGCAACUUCAUGCAGGUUCAAGUCCUGUCUCGGGCACCA